UUUGUUUCCAGUAUAUUGUUGGGUUUAGUUUUGUUGUUAUUGAUAUCGAAGAUGUUUUGCAUUUUGUCUACGUUUUGUUUUUCCCAGGUUCAUUAGGAGUUUUCUUCUUCCUGUUUGGUGAGGUUCAUUAGGAGUUUUCUUCUUUCAGUUUGCUGAGUACCUUUUUCGAAGAUCAAGACGAAGAUCUCAAGAAAAAAAACGAAAAAGGUUUCAUUUUUAUUAUUUCUCCAUUUUUUUAGUUUGAUUUUAAUCAUUUCUAUUCUGUGAGCUAACCCGUUCCAAUGUUGCUAAGAUUGUGUGUCUUUUUGGAAUCUGACGGUGGUUUUUUUCUUUAGGAUUUUUCAUUUUCUUCUUCCUUUUUUAUUACUUCUGUUCAAAGUUUUUAGGAUUUGUGUUGGAGAGAAGAUCGAAGGUUUUUGAAGAUCAAGACGAAGUUCUCAAGAAAAAGACGAAAAGGGUUUAAUUUUUAUCAUUUCCCCGUAGUAACUUUUGAGUUUGAUUUUAAUUAUUUUGUUCUGUAAGCCAACCCGUUCUGAUGUUGCUAGGUUUGUGUGUUCUUGGAAUCUUGGUGGUUGUUUUUCUCUUUAGGGUUAUUUAUACGAGGAUAUAGAGUGUUCUAAAUGGUGUUGGAUAUGUUCCCUCUAAUACAGAAAGGUAUUCCCUUGGAGGCAUUAUCUCUGCCAUUGAGAAUGCUUUUCAUGCAUCUCCUUUAAUAAUUUGCUCAAAAGAUUGUAUUGAGGAACUUCAUCUAUGCUUUUACAAGGACUUCCAGCCCCGAGAUUCUGCUGUUAGUUCUGAUGUUAAAAUUGGCAUGGUUACUUCAAAAGGAUCUUGUCCCAAAUAUGUUAGCUUGCCUUAGCCGCUUUCAGGAAUGACCAGUGGAUUAAGGAUGAAGGAGAUGGUUUAUAAUCUAAAGAGAGAUGUCAUGGAAUAUGUACAGAAGGUGAAAACCUGAUGCAGUUGAUGCUUCGUAAACAACCAAGUUUCUCAGUACUACUUCACUGUUUACGUCUAAACCAUUUGUUGGAAGGUACAAUGUUAUUGUUUUCACAUCAAAUUCAAUGGUUGAUAUGUCUCCAUUGGUGGCCAUGAAACAAACCCCAGAUUUUGAGAGUUUCGUGACUGAAGGAGUAGCAAUUUCCUCCAUCAAGGGUGGUUUGUUGGUGGCAUUAUCUGAGCUUAAAUUCACAUUUUCUGCAGUUCUGGCUUCUUUUUCUUCGGAGAAAAAUAAGUAUUCACAAGUUGCUUUAUAAAUCCUACAGGAAGGUUGGAAAUUAUAGUCCAAGGCAACCAAGUGAUAACUUUCAUGGUUCUACAGUGUAGGAAUUUCUUAAUUAAGUUUUAACCCUUAACUAUUACCACUGUAGAAGUUCUAGAUGGCUACUAAUUAAACUGGGAAAGCUUGUAAUCGUGUCCACUGUUUACAUUAUAUUUUGCUGCUGCUGCCAGUAAUGUUUUAGUCAGUCCAUUAAAAGUCAAUAUAAUGACUCCCUCUUGCAUUAUAUAAAUAUUUUUAUAAUUUA